rnacentral:rRNA from 1 species
GACGAACGCUGGCGGCGUGCUUAACACAUGCAAGUCGAACGGAAAGGCCGUUUCUGAGGUUCUCGAGUGGCGCAGGGGUGUGUAACACGCGGGGGAUCUGCCCUGCACUCUGGGAUAAGCCUGGGAAACUGGGUCUAAUACCGGCUAGGACCGCACGUUAGAGUGUGUGGGGGAAUGUUUUUUCGGUGUAGGAUGAGACCGCGGCCUAUCUGCUUGUUGGGGGGGUAAUGGCCUACCACGGCGGGGCCGGGUAGCCGGACUGAGAGGUUGGUCGGCCACAUUGGGACUGAGAUACGGCCCAGACUCCUACGGGAGGCAGCAGUGGGGAAGAUUGCACCAUGGGCGCAAGCCUGAUGCAGCGACGCCGCGUGGGGGAUGACGGCCUUCGGGUUGUAAACUCCUUUCGCCAGGGACGAAGCGUUUUGUGACGGUACCUGGAGAAGAAGCACCGGCUAACUACGUG